UACGGAGGGGGCAAGCGUUAUUCGGAAUUAUUGGGCGUAAAGGGCGCGUAGGCGGCUAGAUGUGUCAAAGGUGAAAUCCCUCGGCUCAACUGAGGAACUGCCUUUGAAACUGUCUAGCUUGAGGCCGGGAGAGGGUAGCGGAAUUCCCAGUGUAGCGGUGAAAUGCGUAGAUAUUGGGAGGAACACCAGUGGCGAAGGCGGCUACCUGGACCGGUUCUGACGCUGAGGCGCGAAAGCGUGGGUAGCAAACAGG
rnacentral:rRNA from 1 species